AAAAAAAAAAAAAAAAAAAAAAAAAAAGAAGAAAAAAAAAAAAAAGAGGCGCAUUUCCUUUUUGACUUAAGAGGGAGAGAGAGAGAGAGAAGAGGAGGCUGGGGGCUGGUGGACGCAUCGAGCUAUCCCUCGUCCCGAUUGUGAACUUGGCAGCGGCUGCUUGGCGUGAAUAACCCCAGUGGCCACUAACCAGGAACACCUGCUGGCCCCGUUACCCGGAACGGGAGGAGAAGAUGGGCAUCUCCAGCGGAAUUCCACCGCGGAAUAUGGAAGUGUUUAAAGGAAGACCUUCCCCGCUUAGGGUGAUUCACAGGCCUAGAUGAGCUGUUUGAUGCUGGAGCUGGAAUUGAUUUGAAUCCUGGACCAUGAUGCCAUGGAGAGAUGGAUCUCUGGGUCUGGAUCACACUCAGAUUACUCCAUAGUUAAUUUUUAUGUGGACCAAGUGAAUUCUUGGGCUCUCUGGUGAAGGGAGAAAAAUGGGGAGUGACUGACAGCAGGACCU